GCUAUGGAACGUCAAUGCACCCAAUUCUCUCCUUGAGAAGCGUACGCACAUGCACACGCAUAAACCCUGCAUUUUUGCUAUGUUGGGCGACAGCUUUAGCGCUUCCAAAAUCUACAGCCCUUGGUGCUCGACUUCCGUCGCUCAUCCUUAGCGCACAGCUCACUACUAACAUUAAGAGCUUAUCUACCGCGCUUCCAUUGUCCCAAAGGGGUAGGAAGCUCCGGAUCUGCCUCCGAUUGCCAUUGACCGUAUUUCCAGAGAAGCGUGUGUUUUCGAGGACGAGCACUAGCUCAACAAAAGCUGCAAUGGCUCAGACGGCUGGGGAAAUCUCCGGUUUUCUGCCUGCAGCCGUGGAAUCGGGCACGGAGUUGAGCGCGGGACAGAUUGUGCGUCAUGAGGGAAAGGAGUAUAUGGCAGUUAAGGAGGGUUUGGCGUAUAUAUUGAUACCGCGAUCCCAAGGACAAAGUCAAGAGCGGGAUGGGAUGGCGCAAAAAGGAACGGGAUUGGGCGAGGAGAAUAUAACGGCUCCUCAGGGAGAUGAGGAGUUGCAACGGCCCAAGAAACAACAGGGAAAUCAGCAGCAGCAGCAAAACCAACAGCAGCAAGAGACACAGUCCGUCUUUUACAACCCAAUUCAGCAAUUCAACCGCGAUUUGAGCGUGUUGGCGAUCCGGGCCUACGGAGAGCAUGCGCUGGUGGUGAAGAGGGAGAAGAUGGAAAAGGUGGCUCUAAGUAAGAGAGCGUCAAAAGUGAAGAAGAGGAAGAGAG
rnacentral:sRNA from 1 species